ensembl:rRNA 5S_rRNA 5S ribosomal RNA
UUAUCCUAUACAACCACCCUGAACGCGCCUGAUCUUGUCUGAUCUCGGAAGCUAAGCAGGGGCAGGCCUGGUUAGUUCUUGGAUGGGAGACC